rnacentral:rRNA from 1 species
UUAUUUAAUGGCCGCGGUAUUUUGACCGUGCAAAGGUAGCAUAAUCAUUAGUUCAUUAAUUGUGGACUUGUAUGAAUGGUUGGACGAAAUAUUGACUGUCUCAGUUUAAUUAUUUAGAAUUUAAAUUUUUAGUUAAAAUGCUUAAAUUUUUUUAUAGGACGAGAAGACCCUAUAGAUCUUUAUUGUUGAUUUUUUUAUUUUUUUUUGAUUAUUUUUUAAUGAAAAUUUUAAUUUUUUUGUUGGGGUGACAUGGAGAUUUAAAUAACUCUUUAUAUUAUUAUUCAAUAAUUUUUGUAUAAUUGACCUUUUAUUAAUGUUAAAAGAUAUAGAUACCUUAGGGAUAACAGCGUAAUUCUUUUUUAGAGUUCUUAUCGACAAAAGAGAUUGCGACCUCGAUGUUGGAUUAAGAUUAUUAUUAGGUGUAGGUGCUUAUAUUAAUAAGUCUGUUCGACUUUUAAAUUCUUACAUGAUCUGAGUC